GCGAUGCAAGCCGCUUGUUCGACGAAAUGUGUGAGAAGCAAAAUGAACAUGCCCGCGUGUUAGGUCCUUUAUGUGACCCAAAUAACUGAAUUUCAGCUAAGCACCAGAGCUAAUAUCUCUAAUCAGCUUCCAUGGGUGAGGCAAUUAACACUUACUCCAAUUUGUUCUUCCUUCACGGUGCUACUUAAUUCAACACGUUCUUCGUUGCAAUGAUUACAGUUACACUUGGUUUAUCACCAUUGCUUUCAGCUUGACAAAGCCUUAUCUUUGCUACAUACUUAAUUAAUGCUUCAAAGCACUGACAAUUCCAAAUGACAGGUACAAGCUUAGUUUCAUUGUCACUGAUGGAACAUGUGAAGCAGAGUUCUUUUGUUUUGAUAGCAUAGCCAGAAAAAUAGUAGGAAAACCUUGUAACAACCUUGUUACAGCAGUUACAACUUCUCAAGGUCCCCUAGCAGACCUAGCCGAUGUUAUGUGACUGAAAUUUACCCUUGCAGUUGCCAUCAAUAUGCCAGCCUACUCUAUCACAAACAGUCUUCUCUAUUCUGUCUAUUUUGACAAAUCAUGUAAGACAUGCCUUCAUGCCAUCUAACAUGUCUAACCAUCCUGAAGAGUUGUAUACACAAGAUGAAGUACCUAGCCUUCCGGUCACACAAAACUCUCCAACAACAUCUUUGGCGAAACUAUCUACCUGUAGCAACGAAAGAAACGAGGGUGAUGACCAACGUACAAGUGAACUCAACAAGCAAGAUUUAUCAUCACCACCGAAAAGGUAUUUGCUUUUUGUGCACCUAUCAGGAUCACCAUCACUUUUGGACCAUGAAUGCUUCAGCUUUUAGCCUAUUUGUGGAUCUA